UUAAUAUCACCACCGGGUGAUAAGAGGUACUUAGUAAACUCAUUAGGUCUUUGAAGAGUUUAUUGAGUACCUUUUUUUGUA
rnacentral:ncRNA from 1 species